ensembl:snoRNA LOC120103335 small nucleolar RNA SNORA17
UUUGCCCCUAGAGGUAUUGCCAGUGUGGCUGCUGUGUCACAGGUGCGUCAGUAGGUGUCACAAAGGAGAAAGUAUCUAUGAACACUUGUUUUUUAUUUUUAAUUUUAAUAUAUAUAUUUUAAAUUUUUAAAAU